AGAGUUUGAUCAGUGGCUCGAGGACGACGCUGGCGGCGUGCUUAACACAUGCAAGUCGAACGGAAAGGCCCAGCUUGCUGGGUACUCGAGUGGCGAACGGGUGAGUAACACGUGGGUGAUCUGCCCCAAACUUCGGGAUAAGCCUGGGAAACUGGGUCUAAUACCGGAUAUGACCUGCUCCUGCAUGGGGGUUGGUGGAAAGCUUUUGCGGUUUGGGAUGGGCCCGCGGCCUAUCAGCUUGUUGGUGGGGUAAUGGCCUACCAAGGCGACGACGGGUAGCCGACCUGAGAGGGUGAUCGGCCACACUGGGACUGAGACACGGCCCAGACUCCUACGGGAGGCAGCAGUGGGGAAUAUUGCACAAUGGGCGCAAGCCUGAUGCAGCGACGCCGCGUGAGGGAUGACGGCCUUCGGGUUGUAAACCUCUUUCGCCAGGGACGAAGCGCAAGUGACGGUACCUGGAGAAGAAGCACCGGCCAACUACGUG
rnacentral:rRNA from 1 species